rnacentral:tRNA from 1 species
GCCGAAAUAGCUCUGUUGGGAGAGCAUUAUACUAUAGAUCUAAAGUCCCUGGUUCGAUGUCGGGUUUCGGCA